AUGCAAAUCCCAGCCUGAAGUGGAGAGGCUUAAACCUCAGAAGGAGAUAGUCCAUCAGACCCUGAUUCUAGACCCAGCACAGAGGAGCAGGCUUCAGCAGCAGAUGCAGCAGCAUGUUCAGCUCUUGACACAAGUCUACCUUCUCACCACCUCCAACCCCAAUCUGAGCUCCGAGGCCAGCACCACCAGAGUAUUUCUGGUAAGAUUCCAUGCAUCCGUAACUCCGAAGACUUAAGUUUGACAUUGGCUUGACAAGUGGUUUCUCACUGUUAAUGUUAUUCACUGAUUAUAAUCUAUAUUUCAUCUUCUCUACUGGAUGUGUUUGGUCACUGUACCUGCUUGUCCUGUGGCUUCCCCUGUUUUCUUGUUCUUGGUAGAACCCUGAGUCUCGGGAAAUAUUUUCAAUGUCAUCUUCACCACAUCCUCCUCAUCUUGGGAUCCUUUUUGUCUUUCCUGUUUUGAGAGAGGGUCUCAUGUAGUCCAAGCUGGCCUCAGAGUCACUAUGUAGUUGACCUUGUACUUCUGAUCGUCCUUCCUCUACCUGACAAGAGUCCCAGUACACUGCAGACGUACACUACAGUGCCCAGUUUAUGGGGUGCUGUGGAUGUAACCCAGGGCUUCCUGCAUGUUAGGCAAGCACUCUAUUAAGGAUGUUGAGUUUGUGAUCUGUUUAUUAUGCUCAGCUUUAAUGUUUAGUAUAGAAUUAAUUCUGCUUAUGUUAUUUUAAGUGUUUUGAAAGAUUUAUGGACUUUAAUGGGUCUUCCCUCAUUCCCAUUCCCUCUUUCACCCCUCCCCACUUUUCUUUCUUGAAGAGUUAAUAGUAGAUCUGUGAAGGGAGGUAAGGAAAACUCUCCUGGGAGGGGCUCUCUAGGAUAU
rnacentral:lncRNA from 1 species